CUUCUAAGGCCAGUCCACUCUCCCCUCCCCAAGUCAACAGUGCCACCUGCCACACACUCUGCACACCCCUCAGCUUCCAGGUUUGAAAGGAAAAUGGAAUCAAUCACUGGGCACACGGAAAGGCAAUGCUCAGGACAGAUUUCAAAGGCAACUCUCUCUUUAAGGCAGCAGAUGUUCCUGCGAUGAAGAACAAAGCCACACAACACUUUGGGAAGAUACGCCUCUAGCAUAAGGACAGGUAGUCCCAGGGAAGCCACAGAACCAGGCAAAGGUAAAUUUAGCCACCGGAUCCUCUCAGCCCGCACAUUUGGAGAGAAAUCAAGUUGCAAAGCACAGAACCAAAGUUUGCAUCAGGUAACACAUGCCAGUUGACUUUGCCCCAGUCCUUGAGCAUACAAAGAUGGGUAAAAGUACAACAUUUCUAUGCAAACGAGAGAGAUAAGAGCAUCCACAAAUUCAGGAAGAACACUGUGAAGACAAAGGGAGAGACCAGAAUAAUGUGUCUAUGUGGGAAGGAACACCAAAGACUUUCAGCAAGCCACCAGGAGCUAAGUAAAAAGCGUGGAAUAGAUCCUGUCUGAUAGGAUCCAGGAAGAAUUGAUCCUGGGCUCUUUUUUUUAAAACUUUGUGUGUAUAUGUACAUGGGCGUGUAGGGCUGAGGUAAACAAUAGGUGUCUACCUCUAUCAUAAUCCACCUUGCUUUUGGAGACAGGGUCACUCACUGAAGCUGAAGCUCACUGAUUCACCCAGCUACACAGUCACUGCACCCUGGUGGGGGGUUUCAGACCUAUGCUGCCAAGUCAGAAGUUUUCCAUGUGUGUGUGUGGGGGGGGGGGAAUCCAAACUCCAGGACUCCCACUCUCACAGCAAGUGCUUUACUCCCUGAGCCAUCUUCCCAGUCCUGUAGACUCUUUUGACCUUGGAUUUUAAGCUUCCUGAAUUGUGUGACAGUAAGUUUUUGUUAUGUAAGUCACAUAGUCUGUGGUGUUUGAUCAUGGCAACCCAGGCAAACUAAGUACAUGUGGGUGUACAAUAAUUCCUUCU